CGUGCCUAAUACAUGCAAGUCGAGCGGAAUGAUGAAGAAGCUUGCUUCUUCUGAUUUUAGCGGCGGACGGGUGAGUAACACGUGGGCAACCUACCUUGUAGAUUGGGAUAACUCCGGGAAACCGGGGCUAAUACCGAAUAAUCCAUUUUGCUUCAUGGCGAGAUGUUGAAAGACGGUUUCGGCUGUCACUACAAGAUGGGCCCGCGGCGCAUUAGCUAGUUGGUAGGGUAAUGGCCUACCAAGGCGACGAUGCGUAGCCGACCUGAGAGGGUGAUCGGCCACACUGGGACUGAGACACGGCCCAGACUCCUACGGGAGGCAGCAGUAGGGAAUCUUCCACAAUGGACGAAAGUCUGAUGGAGCAACGCCGCGUGAGUGAAGAAGGUUUUCGGAUCGUAAAACUCUGUUGUAAGGGAAGAACACGUACGAGAGUAACUGCUCGUACCUUGACGGUACCUUAUUAGAAAGCCACGGCUAACUACGUG
rnacentral:rRNA from 1 species